GGCUUGUUAGCUCAGUUGGUAGAGCGCUGCACCCGUAUCACAGAGGUCAUGGGUUCAAAUCCCAUACGGCCUG
rnacentral:tRNA from 1 species